GAAAUGCGAUACUUGGUGUGAAUUGCAGAAUCCCGUGAACCAUCGAGUCUUUGAACGCAAGUUGCGCCCGAAGCCAUUAGGCCGAGGGCACGCCUGCCUGGGUGUCACACAUCGUUUCCCCAACGCAAACAUGUAACAAUGUUCCUCCGCUUAUUGAUAUGCUUAAACUCAGCGGGUAGCCCCGCCUGACCUGAGGU
rnacentral:misc_RNA from 1 species